AAAUGAAUAGACGGGGGCCCGCACAAGCAGUGGAGUAUGUGGUUUAAUUCGAAGCAACGCGAAGAACCUUACCAGGUCUUGACAUCCCGAUGACCGCUGUGGAGACACAGCUUCUCUUCGGAGCAUUGGAGACAGGUGGUGCAUGGUUGUCGUCAGCUCGUGUCGUGAGAUGUUGGGUUAAGUCCCGCAACGAGCGCAACCCCUGUUGUCAGUUGCCAUCAUUUAGUUGGGCACUCUGGCGAGACUGCCGGUGACAAAUCGGAGGAAGGUGGGGACGACGUCAAAUCAUCAUGCCCCUUAUGACCUGGGCUACACACGUACUACAAUGGCGAUUACAAUGGGAUGCAAUAUCGCGAGAUGGAGCCAAUCCACAAAAAUCGCCCCAGUUCAGAUUGCAGGCUGCAACUCGCCUGCAUGAAGUCGGAAUUGCUAGUAAUGGCAGGUCAGCAUACUGCCGUGAAUACGUUCCCGGGCCUUGUACACACCGCCCGU
rnacentral:rRNA from 1 species